CCUACGGGCGGCAGCAGUGAGGAAUAUUGGUCAAUGGACGAGAGUCUGAACCAGCCAAGUAGCGUGAAGGAUGACUGCCCUAUGGGUUGUAAACUUCUUUUAUCAAGGAAUAAAACGAGGCACGUGUGCCUUUUUGCAUGUACUUUAUGAAUAAGGAUCGGCUAACUCCGUGCCAGCAGCCGCGGUAAUACGGAGGAUGCGAGCGUUAUCCGGUGUUAUUGGGUUUAAAGGGUGCGUAGGCGGAGGGUGAAGUAAGUGGUCAAAUUGAGGGGCACAACCCCUUCCCGCCAUUUAAACUGGCGCGCUUGAGUGGAAGAGAGGUAUGCGGAAUGCGUGGUAUAGCGGUGAAAUGCAUAGAUAUCACGCAGAACCCCGAUUGCGAAGGCAGCAUGCCGGCUUCCGACUGACGCUGAAGCACGAAAGCGUGGGGAUCGAACAGGAUUAGAUACCCGUGUAGUC
rnacentral:rRNA from 1 species